rnacentral:rRNA from 1 species
GACGGAGGAUGCAAGUGUUAUCCGGAAUCACUGGGCGUAAAGCGUCUGUAGGUUGUCAAAUAAGUCAACUGUUAAAUCUUGAGGCUCAACUUCAAAAUCGCAGUCGAAACUAUUAGACUAGAGUAUAGUAGGGGUAAAGGGAAUUUCCAGUGGAGCGGUGAAAUGCGUAGAGAUUGGAAAGAACACCGAUGGCGAAGGCACUUUACUGGGCUAUUACUGACACUCAGAGACGAAAGCUAGGGUAGCAAAUGGG